AGUCUUGGUCACCAAGAAGACUCCCCUUUCAAAAAAAUCCGCGAAGAAAGUUGCAUCUGCUUCGAAAUCAGCAACCCCUGCUUCCAAACGAAGAAGAGUCUAGCUUUUCCCAGUCUUGCUUCUCCCGCUGUGGUAGUGAAGACCACUCCUCUCAAAUCCCCGAAAAAAUCACCCGUGUCUGCUAAAAAAUCGGCCAAAAAAACGCCCAAGAGUGUAAAGAAAACACCUGCAAAGACUCCUGUCUCAGUUUCCACCCCUGCACCUAAAGUUUUGCCCAAGACUCCAAUCAGUGUAGCAAAGUCAACUGGGAAAACCCCGGCCAAAACACCUGUCAGUUCGCCAAUCAAAUCACCAGUCUCUGCUAAAAAAUCAGCAAAAAAAACUCCCAAGAGUGUAGCUAAGGCUGUCAAGAAAACACCAGCCAAGACUCCUGCUCCAGCAGCUGUUCCUGUGACCCCAAAGAGUGUGGCUACCCCUAAAGCCACAGCAAAAACACCUGCCAAAACUCCUGCCAAAUCUGCCAAAACUCCCAAAAGUGUUGCUAAACCUGUCGCCAAAACUCCUAGUGCUCCUGUAACUCCAGUACCAACCCCUGUCAAAUCUGCCAAGAAAGCUCCGGUACCAACCCCUGUAAAAUCCGCCAAGAAAGCACCGGCACCAACCCCUGUAAAAUCCGCCAAAAAAGCACCUGCAGCAAAAUCACCGAAAAGUGCUGUAAAGAAAACUCCUGCUCCUAAAACACCCAAGAGCACUGCCAAAUCUGUUAAAAAGCCAGCUACUGCAGCUGAAACUCCAGUAGACAGCAGCGUAAGAGCCAGUCGCACAGCUAAAGUCGUCGCUCAGGUCAUGCUUGACACCACUCCUCUCAAAUCGCCCAAAAGUGCUACAAAAGUAACUACUCCGAAAAAGUCUCCCGUCAAGCGCAAAUCAGAAAGCCCUGUCAAGACGGCAAGCAAAGUCAGCAAAGUGGCUGAAGUUGCCGAAUCACCUAUUAAAUUCUCACCAAAGCCGACGAGAGGUAAAAAAGCCUCCGCAGCAGUGAAGCGCAAAAGCGAAUCCAAAGUUGAAAGCAGUCCUGCCAAGAGUGCAAAAGUUGUAGCAUCGCCUGUUAAAGUAACAAGAACUACAAGAGGGGCCAAAACGGCUGCCCCCUCUGAGGGAACUGUGAAAGCGACUAAAGCACCAGCAAAAAAACCAGUCAAGGCUCCUGCGACAAAAGUUGCUGCAGCCAAAACAAAGGCCGUGCCUAAAGCUGCUUCUAAGUCUGUCGCAAAAUCAAAAGCUGCUGCGCCGAAAUCAAAAGCAGCGCAGCAGCAAAAUCCACGAAGAAAGCUGCUGCACCAGCAAGCAAGCCUGCCCGAAGUGCCAAAUCUGCCGUUGCGGCAAAAGCCCCCAGCCCUGCACCCACUAAAUCAACAAGGAGCAAGAAGGUAG
rnacentral:lncRNA from 1 species